GGGAGGAAAAGGGGGAGAGGGAGGGAAAGGGGGAGAGGGAAGGAGGGGAAGAGGGAGGGGAAGGAGGGGAAGAGGGAGGGGAAGGAGGGAGAGGAGGAGGAGGAGGAGGGUAUAGAGGUUAAGAUGAAAUAUCACUAUCAUCUUUGGUAUCGUCAAGGCCAUGCUGAACCCAGGCUUUCUCCCAUGUCUCCCUGCGGCCGUCCACCUUCCAGUCUGAAUGGCAGGGACCUUUAUACCACCCCACAGUUUAUUCUCUGCAGGUAGUGUACACAGUCUGGUUUACACAGAAGGUAAACAGUCUGGAAUCCAAACCUGACGCAUCUCUUAUGCCCAGGCUUAGACUGCUUACUUCUCCCUGGACCAUUGUGACCCUUUCUAUAGUGGUUUUUAUCUUGGUGGUGGUGGCGGCGAUCGAACCCAGGGCCUCGCCUCUUGAAUGCUAGGCAAGCACUCUACCACUCAUCUACAUUUCCCAUGCCUCUGUGCGUGUGUGUGUGUGUGUGUGUGUGUGUGUGUGUGUGUGUGUGUGUGUGUGAAUCCUGAAAUUUUUGCUGUCUUUCUUCGUUUCUUUCUUUUCAUUUCUUUUUUGAGUCAAGGUCUCUAAGCUUAGGCUUGCCUCAAACCUGCAGCAGUUCUCCUGCUUCUUGAGGGCUGGGGUUACACCAUGCCUGGCUUUGCCUUUGGUUGUGGUAGUGUGUGUUUGUGUAUGAGUGAAUGUGCGUGUGUGUGCGUGCGUGCGUGUGUGUGUGUGUGUGUGUGUGUGUCGCACACACGUUCUCCAUAGUGUUGUUUUUGUUUGUCUGUCAUAAUUGACCCUGGACAGAAGGACCGUGAGAUCAGCUCCGACAUUGCUCAAUACCCUCCCCAGUGUCUGUGCUGCAGAGCACACAGCAGAACAGGAAGCUGGAACAAGGACUGUAGGCUGUGAGGAGCAGCCUCGGUCCUAGGCUUGUACUAGAGUCUCUGUUGACCUUUGACCCGUUCUAGUCGGGGAAAAAUCCUAGUCUAAUACAGUCCAACCAGCUGGACGGAUUGAUUGCUUCACCUCAGUCAGGCGUUCCAGUCCCUGACUUCCCAGCCCUAAUGCAAAUACAGAAACUCCUGUGUUCGUUGUGACCCACUUCCUUUCUUACCGGUCCUGCUCAGGGUGGAGGCUUAGGACUGAGUGGCUUCUCUUGUUUUUGCAAAAGGCAAAUAGCCUCCCUGUCACAGCUACUGCUUGGUCAAUAGGCCUUCCUGUUGGCACCACCCAGGGGGGAAAAAUGGGGCAAUGCUUAUGUCCUAGGAUGUUAUUCAAAGAUACCCAGAAGGCUUCAACAGGAUGUAAACACGCUUGUUAAGAUCACGAUCACGGUGUUGGGGUUGGGGAUUUAGCUCAGUGGUAGAGCGCUUGCCUAGCAAGCACAAGGCCCUGGGUUCGGUCCCCAGCUCCGAAAAAAAGAAAAGAAAAGAAAAAAAAAUCACGAUGCUAUGCAAAUUUGAGGGUUGAUGAGGGUUACUGUCAGCCUCGGCAUGCAGGGCCAUACAUAUAGGGUCUACACACGGCUGGGCACACAUGGCAACUCAAAAGACCGUGUAUAUGGUUUCAGUCCUUUAUCUGACAGGCAAAGGGUGUCACUGGAUGAGAGCCUCCUAUGUAGAGAGAUGGACUUUUGCAUAGAGUUUGGAGUUUGCAGGGGACAGGGGACAAGGAUUGUCCUCAGGAUGUCACCAGUCAGCAGGAGGUAGCAGGGUAAUUACACAUAAAAGUACUGUACCCAAGAUGCUGACUCUUCAGGAUUAAAUGCAAGCUAAGGGACUAACCCAGAUUGAUGCAUUCUAUCCAAAUGCUGCCGUCAUCGCUGGACAAGGGGGUGAUCAGACACGGGUGAGGUUAGCUUGAGCGAGGGUUCGGAAAGAGAUGUUUUGAGAAGUGCGUUCGCAGGAAAUACACCUUUACUGUCUUAAGGCUGAAGGCUAGAAACCCAGACCAGCUGGAGUCCCUGCAUCUUGGCCAAAGCGAACAACAGGAGGUUAGAGUGGGCAGAAGAACAAGACACAAUGGUGACACAGAGGAGAGCUUUGGUGGCAGUUUGCGUGGGUCCCCAGUGUGCCCUCUGCAGUGACCCCUCCCACACCCAGCUCAGACCCUCUGCAGAAAGAGCAGCGAGGGUAUCCGGGCUAGAAGCCAAGGACCUCAGGAUGAUACCUUGGACACGCUUUGGCCGUGAAACAGCUUUGUCUCCUUAACGAUCCUCAUUGUUAACGAUCUACUUUGGGGACUGUUGCACAUAUCCGGAUAUGUACCCCUGACUGUGGUAGACCCAUGUUUGAAGACAGACAAAGACAGAACGAUGGGUCUGGGAUUCAGGAGCCUGGUGCAAGGCUCUAUCUGUGCUCUCAGACAUUUGGGUCACUUUUCUUCUCUGCUGUCUCAGUCACUUCACAAAACAACUAGGGAAGGAUUCCGAAAAACGGUUUAAAGCGCCGUACCUACUCCGAGAUAGUGCAAAUGUGUGGACACAGAGACUGGCUAGCACAGCAGCUGUCUCCAUCUUGCUGGGAGGUGCCAGCGGUGGGUGUUGUUACCCCAAUUUGCAGAGGAAAUUGCAACUCAGACAGCCUCGUGAUGACUGGUCCAGAAUUAUGCAGCAAGCAGAGGAUGAACUGAGAAAGGGAGCCUUCUACUCCUGGCCUACUAGCCCAUCCCCAACGACCUACUCUGUUAGUUAACCAGAGUUCAGCUCCCCAGCUGCCCCUCGGGGGGCUUGGAUUUUUCCAUUUAACCUAUUUCUGAAGAGGAAAAACAAUGCAGGUCAAGGGAUUUUCCCUCAGUGACAGCCUGAGAACACAAAGCCCAAGGAUUGCGGCUUAGUGAGCUGCCCCAGACCGCGGGUCUCUCUUCCCAGAGGCCCUGGCUCUGCUUAAGGCUGGCCAGAAGCCGAGGAGGAGCGUGGGGGCAGAGCUCCCCAGAGGCGCACAGAUGGGCAGGCUGGGCCGGUAGCCGGCCUUUCAGCAACCUUUUUGUUUGGCAGCCAAACAGCCAGCGUCAGCUCGCCUGCCUCUCACCUCCUGGGCCUCGCCCUUCCCCCCAAGGAGGUGGGGGAAGCUGAUGAUCUCCUGAGCCACCCGGCCUUCCUCCUUUAUGGGGGGUUGGAGAAUGAAAGAAGGCCUGCAACUGGUGUGGGGCAACUGUUGCCAUCUGUCUAGUGGGACGUCACUAGGCAGGGUCUCGCCCAUUCACUCUUCACGCACCGCUGGGCCCCGGCCUUUUGUCGCUGGGGCCGGGUGGCUGCGGGAGGGAGGGCAGCAGGAGGAGGACGCACAGUUUCUUUGUGUCUAGACUAAACUUUCAGCUACUCACCAGGGUUAUUUGCAUGAGUGAGGAGGCUGACCAAGCCCCACACCGCUCAGGUGAUUGACAACUCCUAGUCUCACUUUGGCUUAACGGAGUUGAAAGCAAUGGCGCUCUCUCCUCCACCGAGGCUGGUCUUCCGUCUGGUCCCUCUGACCUACCAACACCUGCUGCCUUUGCUCCCAAACCAGGAGGAAAGUGGACCAGGUCGUCUCUGGUGCACUAGACAGCCUGGACUUCCACACCAGGACAUCAGCCUCACACCCAGCUCUGCAUCAGAGUGGCCUUUGUGUGACAUCUGACGAAGCCUGCUCAGACACUCCUAUGAGCCAUAUUCCAUCAGACUGCAGGGGUUGGGCUGGAGAAGGAGAGGUAGUGCUGAUCCUGAGACCAGGAGUCUUGCUUGAGUCAGGCCACCUCUGAGGUAGAUCCUGUCACCAUAAGGACUCAACAGAAGCUUUGGAUUUGGGCAGAUAGUUCUGCCUGCUGGUCUCUCAUCUGGAAUGAAAGUCAAAACACUACAUGGAAUCUUCAGUUGUGCUGUAAUGUUUUCAGUAAACUUGGGAUAGGACAACAACAAUAUCCUGUGUGUUCCCUAACCCCAUCAUACAAAAACACAUACACACCCAUAAACUCAGCGUUUAGCACCAUAGCGUCCAGAUAAAGGUUUGAGAAAUAGGUGACCAGGUCUGCCACUCAUUGACUGAUUAUCACCCAGAGUAACAAUUACCCGUUCUGAGCCUUCGUUUCCCUCUGUGUAAAAUACUAGUAAGGACACCUACCUUCUAGUAUUGUUGUGACCGGAGACCUGAUACACAGUGGCCACAUGCAGAAAGAUCUCACCAUAGCUGAUUAAAAAAUAAAGGGGCCUCUUUGCUUUCUCAUAUGUAGUCAGCCUUCUGUUGAGGUUUAGAUGCUAGGGAUGAGACUAAAUUCUAGGGAUGUUAAAAAUCUCUACUAAUAGCGUAAUAUAAGGUCCAGGACAAAGUAUAGCAAAAUCUAUAGUCUAGUAAAAUCUAUAGUAAAAUCUGUAAGUCUAGGACAGAUCCUGCUUUGAGUGUUUCUUGGCAAAACAGGGUUCUUCUUUUUCUGAAAAGUCUUUUUUUUUUGUUUUUUCGCCUCAAAUUGUUCCCUCUGAAGCAUUUUAGAACAACAGCACCUAACAACUAAUUCUUCUCCACCCCUCCUCCUUGCCAGUUUCCAAUGUGUUGCGUGGACUAGCCUUGAACUUAAGCUCUUUCUGUCUCAGCCUCCCAAGUGCAGACACUAAAGGUAUCUGUCAGGCAGUAGCUUGUUUAAUAGAAUUUAACAUCCUCCUUUUAUUAUGGACUCUUAUAGUGUCCUUCCCGAGCUCUUGGUGUGUGUGUGUUUUGUGUGUGUGUGUGUGUGUGUGUGUUGUGUGUGCGUGCGUGUGUGUGUGUGUGUGUGUGCGUGUGUGUGUGUGUGUGUGGUGUUUAUGCCGGCAUCAACAUAUGCUGGGACACCUGCUCGGAGUCCUUCCUCACCUGGAGACUUACCCAGUAUGUUCUUUUGUCUGUUCUGAAGCAGUACACAGACGUCCCUCAGUGAACACAGAGAUUGGCCAGUCACAGCUCACAGAUCACUGGCAGUGAUCCAGGGCUGUUACCUGCCAGGCUGUGCUGACGUCAGAGGUGAACCUCUGUGGAUGUUUUGUGUUAUUCAGAACAAAAGCCCGGAUGUAUCUGGGCCACUCGGUAAGACUAGGUGACUGGGGACAGGAAGGAAAACAAGGAGCAACACAGCAUUAGGACAGAGUUCCCAGGAAGCCGGGGGAUCUGGGUUUCAGAGUUCAGUCUGUCUUCAGGUGCAAGUCAGUCAAACCUAGUAGGUGUCAAUGACUGCUUCUGUAGAGUGAAUGGACCUAUUUCCUUACCACACUUUAGGGAGGAAACGGGCCAUAGAACUGAACUGAAAACAUGUUUUAUAUUCAUUUUGUAUGAGAGAGAGAGAGAGAGAGAGAGAGAGAGAGAGAGAGAGAGAGAGAAACAGACAGAUGGGCUAGUAGAUCCAUUCACUAUUCAUCAUUCUUUUCAUAAGACCCAAGAAUAUGAUCCCAUCGGUGCUAUUAAAAACUCAUGAACACAGCUCUGUGCUACCUGCUGGGGGAGCAUUUGGAGGACUCAUAUGACAUGAUUCCUCCCUUUAAAGAAUUUACAAUCCAAGUCGCUCAACUGACACAUGAAACAUUCAUGUGUGUGGCAUUGACUGUGACUCUAAACAAUGGCUCUCCAACACAGUCCGUUCCAUUCUCCAAUGAGAGGCUGGAUCAUCAGGCCAUGAGACCAUGGAGCCUCAGAGGGGACAGGCCCCACUCUAAGCAUCACAGUCCUCUGCCUCUCUGUCAGCUGAGCAUGGGCUCACCUGUGAGUCUGCCCUCUUUCUGUGACAAUGCAGAUACCUGUUUCCAGUGUUGGCUCAUCUGCACCUGCCUGUCCCCCGCUGUCCACUAACGCUGUCAUGAUCAUUGCAGUUGCUCUCAGGUGGCCCUGGGUUGGACACUAGGGUGCUACUGUCCCUCUCCCAGUGUCAAAGAAGGGUCAUCACUUCUCCCUUCCACAAAAGAAAGAGUGUUGACGUGCCCUUCUAAUUGUACACCCCUCAAGGACAGGUCACUAGAAAAGGUGCAAGCCACUGAGCUUUCCUCACAGCACAGAGAAGGAGGCGUGGCUUUCUCGGUGGGUGGGAGCAAGUCUUGGCUGGGGUAGAGGAGCUGUUUGGUUGACCAGUGCUCUGUUGGGCACCGGCUUUGGCAACCCCAGAGAGAGGCGGAAUAGCAAAGACUUCACAUCAGUGAUGAGGAUACACUAGGGUGAUUUUUUUUAAAUGAAAGAUGAGACGUUUUAAGUAAAAGAAAAAUUAAUACCAACUCACACCCAUCUUGGCAACGAUGGGCAACCCAUUGUUUUGAAGCAGCAUUUGACAUUGGGAAGAUGUCCAGACAGGGCGUUCCCAGGGACUCUUACUUUAUCCCCAGGGUCUUUUUUCCCCCUUUUUCAGAGCUGGGGACCGAACCCAGGGCCUUGCACCCGCUAGGCAAGCGCUCUACCGCUGAGCUAAAUUCCCAACCCCCCGGGACUCUUACUUUAAAGAGAGCACCACUUACUUUAAAGCAGCAAGCACUGCCUUCCUCCCAGCUGUAGACGUCUUAACUAGUGCCUUUGCCUUCCAAGGAACAUUUGGCAACUCAAGAUACUUUGAUGGUGUUCACUGGGUCGGGAGGGGGAUACCCUGGAGGGACCCAAACCCAAGGACAAACAGUAAUGCACUGAGAACAGCUGCCCUUCAAUAAGACAGCAGACAGAUAAGGAUACAGUGGUUAGGAGGGAGGAAUAGGAGCUUCAAGCAUCGAUGUGGAUAAACCUUGACCACAUAUUGUUCUGUGGGGAGAAGUCAAUUACAGACAUUGUGUGAAGCCAUUGUACAGUUUAAAGACACAACCUGGGUAGCCAAUUAGAUCGGCCGUUUAGACUCUGGUGCUAAUCGGCACGAACAACUCUAGCCAGUUUGAGAUCUAUAAAUAUGCAAUAAAAGCCCGGGCCCUCAUUGGCUGAUGAUACAACCCAACCUAAUAAACCAGCCAGAAGUUGAAAGCUCAAUGGACCUAAGGCUUCCUGGCUCAGAGCACAGCGAGCGUCCUGCAUGUCAUGGCUGGGAAAAGAUAGAAAGUUCUAAAGUGCGCUAUCUACGGACAGUGCACUGCUCUCUCACUAUCAUAAAGUUAAACUAGAAGGCAAAGGUGGACUAGAGAGACCUUGCCUCCCGAGAGGGUGGAGAGCAGGAGACUUCAGGUGCAGUUCCAUUUAGAGGAAGCAACUUCGAAGUGAUGUUCGCAUGCACUAAACCUGAAUGGUGGAUUCAUGGUGCUGGUUACAUUGAUCGCCAGGCUUCAGUGUAUGUUUUGGGGAAAUAUAUCAUUAAUGAAAAGAGAAGGAUGUAGGUUCAAGGACAUGUGCUCAUCCUCCGUUCACACGAACCCAGAAGGGGGCUUUCGGUUAUAUAAUGUUCAUUUUAACUAUCUUUUGUUGUCACCCAGCAGAAGGUUGCCUGAGUUUUUGUGGAACAUAUGCAUAAAAUCCCCCUCGAAGAUCUUUCAGCCCUCCUUAGGAAAGCUCUUGUUGGAUGGUGUCAUGGGAUGCAUACCACCUGACUCCGUGUCCACGGUCACCCAGACCAUUAGAGCGUGAGCUCAUCUGGAGGCAUUCUCUUCGCAAAUGUAAUUACCAAAAGUCUAGGAUGAGAGCAUACUGAAUCAGGGAGGUCCUUAAAGCUAUGCCCCAUGUCUUAGAAGAGAUUACCAGAGGGACCAAUAGAAGACACCAGAUGGACAUGGGGACAGCAGAGAGAUGGAAGUGACAGGGCUGCAAACCAAGCACUGUCGGGACCUGCCAGGAACCAGAAGAGGCAAGCAAGAUGGUUUCUAAGACCUUCAGAAAAAAGCAGAGCUCUGAAAGCACAUUGUGUACUUUUGGCCUCCCGAAUAAACAAGAGAAUAAUAGAUUCUAAAAAUUGCCAGACCGCCGCAUUUGUUGAGGCUUUGUCAGGCCAGCCGUGGGAGAUGAACAGUGAUGAGCGUUUGAAAUCAGCCUCAAAGCAGGGCACAGCUCCCACCAGAAGCCAUUACUUUUGCACUACAAGGAGGCAGGAAUUUGUAGGUGACAGUCCCCGUUCCCAUAAGGAUUCUCUACAUCCUGGUGGUGUCUCUUACUCAGCCCUUGGGGUGGUACCUCACAACCCCCAUUCCACAGAUUUCCUGAAAAAAUAAACUCUGCCGUGUGGUGUGUUUGACCGCUCAGAGCCGUUUCUUUAUUAUGGAGACUUCCCACCAUGAGAGACAGAGCCGGCUCUAAGUGAGAUCAGCAGCUGCUAACUUUGCGAUCUCGGUUGCUUCUGGAGAACCAGCAUGGGAGUCCGUCUUGCUAGGCUGAUCUAGACUUCAGAGUUGGUGACGUGAGAGAGCAAAGGCCUCAUGGAACCUGUGCUGGUGAGGUGGAGAGUAGAGGCAGCGGUAGCUGGACUCCAUGCGGAAGCAGCGCACAGUUCUCUGCAGUGUCGAUCCAGCGUGAGGGCCUCGGCGUUGGGGGCGGGGUGGGGGAGGGGGGUUGGAGGGCUGCACCGUGAUCUUCAUGGACAUGACUUUGUGGCUGCUUCCGGGUUGCACUGGUUCCACUUCUAUGUUGUCCAAAGUCCUCUGCUCCUGACAUACCUUUAUUACUAGGCAUGGAGCUGUGUGCCCUGGAGCCUUGUUAUGUCCAGUUCUGUUGGGGGAGCUUGGGCUUUCUGGAUCUUUCUAUGCAACAACCUUAGUCACACCCUCUGAGUAUCUGGCUAUGGUUGGCUAUUAUCUCUUCCUAAAACUGCGGGCUAAGCCUGAAGCCCGUGGCACUCCCCUGUUGUCUCAUCCUGUCUCCAGAGCCUAAUCUCAUCAAGACCCAAGGCUCAGUGCGAGACACCUGGGAAGGAGGGGCGGGGUUUGUUGGGAUAGACUGGAGUCAAGGCUGCUGCUAAUUCUUGUCGACUUAUGAAGAUUCAGGGUUUGCCGUUCAGGUUUCCUCCUUGCUCAGUCAGGGACUCUGACCCAUUUUCUAGUCUCCAGUGGAAUCGUGCCCUUUGUUCGUACAGUGUGCCCAACAGCAGCCCAGACUUGGGUGGAAACAGAUCAUUUGUCGUCAGCGUUUGCAAUUCCUGUUGGGGCCCAGUGUGGCUGGGUGUGGCUGCUGGGCCCUUUGUCCUUCCUAGCCAUUUGCCUGUAGGUUCUCCCUUCCUCUGCUCUCAGGGCUGUGCUUCAGUAAAGCCUGGCUUCCGUCAGCAAGGCAGCCCUACUUGCUUCUGGUGUAGGCUUUGACCUUAGGGCAUGAGCUGGUUUUCAGGAGUCAAAGCUUGUGCAACUGCAUAAUUGAGCAAGUGUUGGGUUCCCGUGAGCACAACUUGGGGACUUGAGAUACCCAGGGUCUCAACUGGCUGCUGAAGUCACGUUUAUUAGCUCCCGCCUGUAUGACUGAGGUGGAACCUUCUGGGAAAGUCUGAGGUCCACAUGGGACCAUUAGUUUCCUGAUGGCACUUUAGCGGUGGAGUCAGUGCCUGGGAGCAUAGUAGAGUGGCUUAGUCACAAAAUAAAGGAGAACAUUCAGGCCACUCCUGCUGCUUCCUUAGUCACACUGGUCCUCCUCCUCCUGGAUGAUGAGGAGGAGGGGGAGGAGGAAGAAGAGGAGGAAGAAGAGGAGGAAGAAGAGGAGGAAGAAGAGGAGGAAGAAGAGGAGGAAGAGGAGGAGGAAGAGGAGGGGAAGGGGAGGGGGAGAAAGGAGAAAUAAUAUUUGGUACUUUAUUUGGUGUUUUUAUCAAACUGCCUUGUGAGUUUCAGAAUGAGCAGUAUCUUUUACAUUGUUAAGACGAAAAUGAGUCUGAGUCCCUACCUACCUCUACAAAGACCCUGAGAGCUUCACGGCUCCUUCCCCAGCAGCCUUGCUCAGGAGCUGGCUGUGACUGAGCUGUGCCCCCAGAGAGGGACGAUCCAUGCCUGGUGCUUCCUUCUAGCAUUCUUCCUGUGCUCUGACCUGUCUUUUCCUGAACCCCCUAGAUAAUCAGGUCUGUGCAUUUGCACCAGAAGACAGAUCUUCCGUUGGCGUGCGGCUAACCAAAAUUCACCACCGCCUUCACUUCCGAAGGCCACAGACACGGCAGCCCUCGAGGCUCCUUCCAUUUCCCCCUGAAGUCCUAGAUUUCAGUUUUGUUAUUUUGAGACUGGGCCUCUUGUAGCCCAGGUUGGCCUUGAUCUGAUCAUCAUGGUCUAUCUUCCAAGUGCUUGGCCUAUGGGUGUACGUCGCAAUACUUGGCUUGAGAGCAUAGAUGUUUUUAUAUUACGUUGCAUUUAUUGAAAAGACCUCAACAUGCCUUUUGCAUUAGCAACACUUUGAAUUAACUUUAGUCAAUAAGCCUCUAGAGGGAUUUCGUUAAUUGUAGUAAUGAAGAAAUAUAUACAUGAUAUAUAAAUUUUAUGUUUUACAUUUUCGUAUCACAGUAACUUGUUUAAUUACUGAACUAGCCUGGGCUGCAUGUGAGAUGCUGUUCAAAUCAGACAGCCAAGCCAGCAGUCUGAAAAGCUGAGCAUAGUGGUCCCUGUAAUCCUACCUACUCAGGAUGGUGAGGCAAGAGGGUUAUUUAAGCCAGGAGUUCAAGGCGGGUCUGGGAAGCAUAGCAAGACUGUUUCAAAACAAAGCAAUACACAAACAGAACAAGAUUCUGAGCAGGGUCCCAUAGGCCUCACCUGCUUUGGCCAGCACAAAAGGCACCUGGUGUCACUGGGUCUUCUGGUGACAGUGGUUCUCCACCUUAAUGUUGUGACCCUUUAAUACAGUUCCUCAUGUUGUGGUGACUUCCAACCCUCACAUUAUUUUCGGUGCUACCUCACUACAAAUUAGCAGCUGUCAUUUUGCUACUAUUAAGGAGCGGAAUGGAGAACGGCUGGAUUAGAAGAACACUUGGAGAAAUCUAGCUGUCAUGGUAGCCUUUGAAAGGCUCUGGAGUCUGACCAUGUGAUGAGAGACACUGCCCCCUUGUGGCCAAAGACAAAACAGCGAGACUAUAGAGCCGCUGCCCUUAGUAGGGUGGUAGUUAAGAGUCUGGCUACUCAAGUCUGAAAGAGAGAAUUCCGGCAGUGUAGGUGUAUUUGUUUUUAGUCUAUUUUAUUGUUUUUUAUAUCUAUCAUCCUUCUCCACUCCAAUCCCUUCCAAAGGCUCAACAGCAGGUAGGUUAGAGGGGAAGGGGACUUAGGUCUCUUUAUACUAUUUCCUGCUGAGUAGGGGCAUAGUUCCUUAGAGCAAUCCAAAUCUUCAUCCUGUCAGGAUAUCUCAAACUUCUUGUUAAAUUGCGACAACAGCAACCAGGAGCAGCAGGGACCACCACCACCAGCGGCAGCAGCAGCAGCAACUCCCUCCCCCUCCUCCCCCAUCUCUUCUUCAGAGCCCCUCUCCUGACUCGGGCGUUUAUACCCUCUCCAGAGUCCCCAGAAUUAAAGAAUCUACAGCUAGCAGUAAUUCUACCCUUGCUGGAGCAAACAGUCUGCUGCUGGGGACACUCUGAAGCAGCCUCUCAUAUCUCACAGCUGGGAUUAAAACAAAGACAAGUUCACAUAACAUAACUGAGUUCUUAAAGAAACCAGAACUCUCACUCUAGGUGAUUUGAUUCCUAUGUAGCAUCCUGCCUCGCUGCUUUAAAUGCUGUCUGUGGUCCAGCCAUUUUUUGAUGCCUAACGUAUCUGAUGUUCCUUCCAUAUUUGGGUGUUAUCUAUGGCCAGAUCAUCUCCCCUCUUGUCUAGAUUACUGUGUCCCACUCCAAAGCCUUCAACAUCAGGCUCUUGACAUCUCCCCGCAGACCUAUGGUCAUUUUGCCAGCUCUUUCUCAGUUUGUAACGCCUGGCCCUCCUUGGGCUGUUGAUUCUGUUGUUAUCCAAUGAACGCCUCAGUAAGAAAGCCCCGCCCUUCAUCUGUAAGAAAGCCCCGCCCCUCAUCUGUAAGAAAGCCCCGCCCCUCACCUGUUGUUUACUAGGGAAGAGGGAAUUUUAAUUGAAAAACCACAGCCAUAAAGGCUGGCAGGAUGGACUGAGUCAUCCUCCAGUUGCAUCAGUCUUUUCUAUCCUUCAUCCCCUGGAUUCUCAGCUCUGCAGAAGCACUGACAGACUGAAGAGAAAGGUGGUCAGCAUCGUGGCCUACAUGCUUCCCUGGUGGGUGUGGCUAGCAUCACAUGGACUACAUGCUUCCCUGGUGGGUGGCCCAAGGUCUGUGUGUGUCUUAGUCCUUGUGUAUAAAAACAACAUAUAGUAUCUAGUGAAAACAGUAACAGCUGUGGCAGUGUGCACAAGCAGUAGCAAACGAGGUGAUACAAGUUAAGUUCUGUGCUGACUUGAAUGAGGAUAGCCCCCAUAGGCUCACAUGUUUGAAUACUUAGUCCCCAGUUGGUGAGACAAUUUGUGAAGGAUGUGGAGGUGUGACCUUGUUGGAGGAGGUGUGUCACUGGAGGUGGGCUCUGAGAUUCAGAAAACUUAGCUCUCUCUGCCUCCUGCUUGUGAGUCAAGAUGGCGCUCUAGCUGUUUGCUCCACCAUCAUGGACUCUAGUCUCUGGAACUGUAAACCCCACUAAAUGCUCUCUUUUAUCUGUUACCUGGGUCAUGGUGUCUUGUCACCCCAGAAAAGUAGUCAGAGUAAGUCCUUACCAACUGGUAGCAUGAUGAAAAAUGGUGCCCGAGUCUGAGGGACAACCUCUUUCUUGUGUCUCUCAUGUGAGACAUUUAGAAAUGAGACUUAGAACUGAGGCGAAUGCAUGCAUGGCUUUCUUUGUUUCCUUUACCUGGGUUGGUUGCUGUUACAUUCUAAAUCUGAAAUGGCCCCCAUGGACUCAUGCCUUAGAUACUUAACCCUUGUCUGGUGCUGCUAUUCUGGGAGGCUUGUGGAACCUUUAGAAGGGACCCGCUAGCUGGUGGAGGCAGGUCAUUUAGGGUGGAACUUUGAAGGUUAUACAAAGCACCUGAUUCCUACCCUGCCCUCUGCUCCUCCGUCUGCUGCGCUGUGAACAGCAACUCCCGUACACUCCCAUUGCUGUGAACGGAUGGAUCGGAACCCUGAGCCCAGAUAAAUCAUUCUUUUCCUAACUUGUCUGUCAGGGGCCAACCCAGCAAGGGAAGGUCGCUAAUCCUGCAUAUUGGUGUCAGGGAAUGGGGACACUGUUAUGAUUAAGUCUGCCCAUGUGGCUCUUAGACCUUUCAAACUGGUUUGUAGGGAACAUUUGCAGAGGUUUGGAGACGCAGGUUAAAGAACCCCUAAUGAUACAAGAAGACCCUGGUGGGUGAUGCUGGUGGGGGUCAACAGAUCUCCACCCCAUCCCCACCCCGUGCUAAUGCAAGCACAAACAGUGAGGUCUGGCUCGUGAGGCUGGCUUGUUUGUUUGUUGUUGUUGUUGUUGUUGGUUUUUUGUUUCUGUUUUUUGUUUUUUGACAGAGUCUCUCUCUAUAGCCCCCUGGUUGUUCUGGAAUUUACUAUGUAGACAAGGCUGGUCUGGAACUCAAAGGCGCAUGUCACCAUACUCAGCUCUCUCUCUUUUUUUCCUUUUCUUUUCUUUUAGAUCUUUUUUUGUUUUCAGACACAAGAUGGAAGUGUAUGCUGUUCCCCGGAGCUGGGGACCGAACCCAGGGCCUUGCGCUCGCUAGGCAAGCGCUCUACCGCUGAGCUAAAUCCCCAACCCCCAUACUCAGCUCUCUUGAGGUUUUAAAUGUGAACAAGGACUUAAGGAAUUGGGACUAGAAGCCAUUUGUGUUAUAGAAUGGCAAAGACCUUACAUAUGCAUUCCCCAUGUUCUGACCUUUUAAGUGAGGCUAAGUUGAAAUGGAAUGGAUAAUUCGGUGGAGGAAAUACGGAGAUAGCGUUCGGGCUGUGGCAUGGCUAUUGCUACUGCCUCAGGGCCGGUUUACAGUGAAAAAAUGAGGAUUAAAAAAUAUUUUUCAGAUCAGAAGGAUGCAAGAAGCGAACAGUUUGGCCAGGAAAGGGAGCUAUGUAAAGUCACAGAUAAAGAUGCCGUGUUAAGGAUGACAGCAGACGCUGAGUCCUUUGUAUUAAGACGAUAGGAAGGCUCUUCAGGUGCUGCAGGAUUAGUGAGACUUCAGUCACACAGGUUUCAGGGUGUAAAACUGCAAACUCAUUUGAAAGACUUCUCUAAAGAGAGCAUGCCAAUCGGGUGCCCGCCUCACAAGGAGAUACCCAAGGGCAGCUUUACCUGGGUUCAGCUGCCGAGAGCACUCAGAGGCCUCGGUAGCUAUAAUCCAAGGAAGCCCAGCUGCCACUCAGGGUGGCAUUGUUUCCACCGUGCUAGCUUUCCAGGUGUGGAGAGUGCAAGAGUUCUGGGGUCAUGGAGGUUUCCUGCAAGAUUCCAGAGAAAGGCCAGAGUAGCCAGGCGAAGCAGUAGAGGAGGUCUGGAAGGCCAUGCACGAAGCAUGGAGAGAAAGCCUGAGCUGCAAUGGAGACCCUGUGAUGCUGUAGGCGCCAGGAACAUGAGCGUUCUAAGGAGCAUGACCCAAACAAAGAGAGCGUGUGCACUGCAAACAUUAUGAGGGCCAGGGCAGCUGAAGUCCAUUGGAAGUCACACCAUGCUGUCCCAAAUGCUGGACAUGCAGCUAUGGGAGUUCACGUUCACCCUGCUGGUAUCUGGUUUUGCUUUACUUCCAGUCCUCCCCCCUCUUAUCCCCAUUCGUCCUUUAGGAAUAUGAUGCUCACCCUGGACUAUAGACUGAGACCAGGCUACUUAUAGGGCCUCGUGGCUAGAAGGUUGUCUUGAGUCCCAGAAGAGCCUUUGAACUUUGGUCUUCUGAAAGGUCUUAGGAUUUGUUAAGGCUCUUGAAGUUCGAGUUGAGCAGGGGUGGCGCACCUUUUUAUCUCGGCACUCGGGGGGGUGGCAGAGCCAGGUGGCUCUCUGAGCUCAAGGCCAGCCUGGUCUACAGAGCAAGUGCCAGGACAGUCAGGGCUACAAAGAGAGUGUAUAAGUUGUGUGUGUGUGUGUGUGUGUGUGUGUGUGUGUGUGUGUGUGUGUAAAUAUAUACAUAUAUUUAAAUAAUAAACACACACACAGCUUUUGAAGUUGGGUUAAACACACUGUGAGGUGCGCUAUGAUGGUUGGGCUCUUGAAUGUCUCUCUCAGGCUCAUUUUGAAUGCUUGUUCUGUAGCUGGUGGUGCUACUUUGGGAGGCUAUGGGACCAGUAGGAGGUAGAAGAAGCAGGUCGCUUGGAGUGUACCUUCGAACCUUAUAUCCAUAUCUUGGUUCCUGCUUUGCUCCCUGCUUCUUUGUCUGCUGUGAUAUAAACAGCCUUUUGUCACACACUCCGUGCCAUGAACUGAGUUUUCUCUCCCGUGCUAGAGUGAGAUCCCAUGUAACCAAGAGUUACCCUCUGUGCCAGAUCUUUGAGGCUCUCAUAUUCCCCACAUUCUAUCGUGAAACCCACUCCGGGGCAUCAUCAGUUCGGUUUGGAGUUGGGGCAGUCAGAAUCUGGCAUAUAUUCAUCCUCAGUCACUUCCCCUCCUCCCUCCUUACUUCAGGACAAUGUUAAGUGCUUAGCCUGGCCCCUGGCACCCGAUGGGUUUCAAGAGACGCACAAUGAGAGGACUAAGAGUAGGUAGGCAGCUUAGAUUUGGUUCUUCCAGAACCUGGUGGGACCGCGCUCAGUUCCCAGAAGAUGCCACUAGAGGGCAGCAACCAUUAAGGCAAUAAUACACGAGCUCAGCCAGGUUCAGAAUUACUAGGUUGACAAGAGUGGAGAAAGAAAAGCAUUUAGAAUGCGUGUGUGUGUGUGUGUGUGUGUGUGUGUGUGUGUGUGUGUGUGUGUGUGUGUGUGUGUGUGUGUGUUGGGGGGGCGAUGACAAUAACAGAAAUAAAACAAACAAAAAACCCUCAAACAGUUUUUCUUUCUCUUGGGAGACAAAUGAGUGUGUAAAUAAUGAGACUAAAACUAGGAACUUUCAUAACACAACACUUGCUAACUUGAGAGUUUAAAUAGGCUACUUUUUUUUAAAAGCACUUAUAAAAGAAAGAGUUGAUACCGUUCAAGGUCUGUGUGACUGACUAGAUGCCCCAAGGCAACACCAAGGGCUGCCACCAACGAAUCCAUUCUUGCAGAUGCACUUAUAAAAUAACUUUAUUGGUCAGGUUGGCCACCACUCAUGCUUGCUUCUUGCUGAGGACCCUUUAUAGAGGCCAGAUGGUAUCUGCAUGCAGGUGCUUCUCAAGAGCUCUGGGCAGGGCAGCCUUGCUCCACAUGUGGCACUCCCUGGUUCAAACAAGCUGGUUUGGCUUUUGUGGAUUUCAGGAUCUGGAACCCAUGGCACAGUCUAAGCACCCCACCCCACCCUGUCCUUUUCAGGGAAGCUUGCUCCUAAGUGCACACAGAGUCAUGGGUCUAAGGCAUCUGGGAAGGGACCUACCUCAGGCUAACAUCUCACAACUGGUUCUUGCCACUGGCUACCCGUGGCUCUUUCCCAGUGAGUCUAGAGAACCCGAUGGCUGUACCUAGGCAACAUCACCUUUAAAAAGGAGAAGACAGGGUUGCUCUCAGACAAGCUACACGUCACAGGCACCAUCAGUAUAAGGUGUGGUCCCACAGUGUGGAAGCAGAGGAAACUAUGUCUAGUGUAGGUAAGCCUUGGGCCUGGCUAGGGCUUCCUGUACCCCAGUGACCAUCUCCAGAAGAGCUGGUACCUUAAACUCUAGCUUUAGGGACAAACCAGUUAUGGAGAUCACACCCUUGUCUGGGUUAGUGGGUGGGUCCACGGCUGGCACAGUCUGCCUCUGCCUCUGUGUAACAAACCUCCAUACCUGGAUCCAAGGAUGGGCAGAGGCUCUUUCUCAUGGUUUGGAAACCACACUGGCCCCUUUGAUACUAAAAGCCCAAGAAGGGGCACAGAUCAUGUUGGUCAGGUGAAGCUGGAAGGGGGGCUGCCCCUUCAGUCCUGCCAUUCUGAGGUGUGACUCUUCCCCAUCUUAUUGUGGAUCCUAAAAAUGAGCAUUUGACCCUUCUCUCCUCUGAUGGAUCCUCCAUUAUAGGGCUGGUUAUCCCCUUGUAAUUAAGUCAUGACUAUCAGUCACCAUUAUACUGUUCAAUACGCUGACUUUAAACAGGUGACGUUGUGUGUGUGUGUGUGUGUGUGUGUGUGUGUGUGUGUGUGUGUGAUGGUUUUAGAUAU